rnacentral:rRNA from 1 species
GAUGAACGCUGACAGAAUGCUUAACACAUGCAAGUCAACUUGAACUUCGGUUUGGGUGGCGGACGGGUGAGUAACGCGUAAAGAACUUGCCUCACAGAUAGGGACAACAUUUGGAAACGAAUGCUAAUACCUGAUAUUAUGAUUUUAGGGCAUCCUAGGAUUAUGAAAGCUAUAUGCGCUGUGAGAGAGCUUUGCGUCCCAUUAGCUAGUUGGAGAGGUAACGGCUCACCAAGGCGAUGAUGGGUAGCCGGCCUGAGAGGGUGAUCGGCCACAAGGGGACUGAGACACGGCCCUUACUCCUACGGGAGGCAACAGUGGGGAAUAUUGGACAAUGGACCAAGAGUCUGAUCCAGCAAUUCUGUGUGCACGAUGAAGUUUUUCGGAAUGUAAAGUGCUUUCAGUUGGGAAGAAAAAAAUGACGGUACCAACAGAAGAAGUGACGGCUAAAUACGUG